rnacentral:rRNA from 1 species
GACGAACGCUGGCGGCGUGCUUAACACAUGCAAGUCGAACGGAAAGGCCCUGCUCUUGUGGGGUGCUCGAGUGGCGAACGGGUGAGUAACACGUGAGUAACCUGCCCUUGACUUUGGGAUAACUUCAGGAAACUGGGGCUAAUACCGGAUAGGAGCUCCUGCUGCAUGGGGGGGGUUGGAAAGUUUCGGCGGUUGGGGCUGGACUCGCGGCUUAUCAGCUUGUUGGUGGGGUAGUGGCUUACCCAGGCUUUGACGGGUAGCCGGCCUGGGAGGUUGGCCGGCCACAAUGGGCCUGCGGGACGGCGCAGAGUCCUACGUGAGGCAGCGGUGGGGAAUAUUGCACAGUGGGCGGAAGCCUGAUGCAGCAACGCCGCGGGCGGGAUGACGGCCUUCGGGUUGUAAACCGCUUUCGCCUGUGACGAAGCGUGAGUGACGGUAAUGGGUAAAGAAGCACCGGCUAACUACGUG